rnacentral:rRNA from 1 species
GAUGAACGCUGGCGGCGUGCCUAAUACAUGCAAGUCGAGCGAACGGACGAGAAGCUUGCUUCUCUGAUGUUAGCGGCGGACGGGUGAGUAACACGUGGAUAACCUACCUAUAAGACUGGGAUAACUUCGGGAAACCGGCGCUAAUACCGGAUAAUAUUUUGAACCGCAUGGUUCAAAAGUGAAAGACGGUCUUGCUGUCACUUAUAGAUGGAUCCGCGCUGCAUUAGCUAGUUGGUAAGGUAACGGCUUACCAAGGCAACGAUGCAUAGCCGACCUGAGAGGGGGAUCGGCCACUCAGGAGCUGAGACGCGGCCCAGGCUCUGACGGGCGGCAGCGGUUGGUAAGCUUCGGAACUGGGCGGAAGCCUGCCGGAGCAGCGCCGCGUGGGUGAUGAAGGGCUGCGUGUCGGAAAACGCUCUUAUGAGGGAAGAACAUAUUUGUAAGUAACGGUGCGCAUCCGGCGGGUACCGAAACAGAAGGCCCCGCCAACUUCCUG